ACUCAACGAAAUUUUUAAUAAUGGGUAAGUCCGUUUGGUAAAAGCAAGCUUUCAUGAAAAGAUCCUUGAUCCAAAGGUUAGCCCAAAUCCUGUUUAUAUAGGAGUUU
rfam:Marine metagenome 1095907049731, whole genome shotgun sequence.